rnacentral:rRNA from 1 species
GGUUAAGUGACUAAGCGUACACGGUGGAUGCCUAGGCAGUCAGAGGCGAUGAAGGGCGUGCUAAUCUGCGAAAAGCGUCGGUAAGGUGAUAUGAACCGUUACAACCGGCGAUACCCGAAUGGGGAAACCCAGUGUGUUUCGACACACUAUCAUGUCAUGAAUACAUAGUGGCAUGAGGCGAACCGGGGGAACUGAAACAUCUAAGUACCCCGAGGAAAAGAAAUCAACCGAGAUUCCCCCAGUAGCGGCGAGCGAACGGGGAGGAGCCCAGAACCUGAAUCGGCUUGUGUGUUAGUGGAAGCGUCUGGAAAGUCGCGCAGCAAAGGGUGAUAGCCCCGUACACUAAAAUGCACAGGUCGUGAGUUCGAUGAGUAGGGCGGGACACGUGACAUCCUGUCUGAAUAUGGGGGGACCAUCCUCCAAGGCUAAAUACUCCUGACUGACCGAUAGUGAACCAGUACCGUGAGGGAAAGGCGAAAAGAACCCCGGCGAGGGGAGUGAAAUAGAACCUGAAACCGUGUACGUACAAGCAGUGGGAGCACCUUCGUGGUGUGACUGCGUACCUUUUGUAUAAUGGGUCAGCGACUUAUAUUUUGUAGCAAGGUUAACCGUAUAGGGGAGCCGUAGGGAAACCGAGUCUUAACUGGGCGAAUAGUUGCAAGGUAUAGACCCGAAACCCGGUGAUCUAGCCAUGGGCAGGUUGAAGGUUGGGUAACACUAACUGGAGGACCGAACCGACUAAUGUUGAAAAAUUAGCGGAUGACUUGUGGCUGGGGGUGAAAGGCCAAUCAAACCGGGAGAUAGCUGGUUCUCCCCGAAAGCUAUUUAGGUAGCGCCUCGUGAACUCAUCUUCGGGGGUAGAGCACUGUUUCGGCUAGGGGGCCAUCCCGGCUUACCAAACCGAUGCAAACUCCGAAUACCGAAGAAUGUUAUCACGGGAGACACACGGCGGGUGCUAACGUCCGUCGUGAAGAGGGAAACAACCCAGACCGCCAGCUAAGGUCCCAAAGUCAUGGUUAAGUGGGAAACGAUGUGGGAAGGCAUAGACAGCCAGGAUGUUGGCUUAGAAGCAGCCAUCAUUUAAAGAAAGCGUAAUAGCUCACUGGUCGAGUCGGCCUGCGCGGAAGAUGUAACGGGGCUAAACCAUGCACCGAAGCUGCGGCAGCGACGCUUAGGCGUUGUUGGGUAGGGGAGCGUUCUGUAAGCCGUUGAAGGUGGCCUGUGAGGGUUGCUGGAGGUAUCAGAAGUGCGAAUGCUGACAUAAGUAACGAUAAAGCGGGUGAAAAGCCCGCUCGCCGGAAGACCAAGGGUUCCUGUCCAACGUUAAUCGGGGCAGGGUGAGUCGACCCCUAAGGCGAGGCUGAAAAGCGUAGUCGAUGGGAAACAGGUUAAUAUUCCUGUACUUGGUGUUACUGCGAAGGGGGGACGGAGAAGGCUAGGCUAGCCGGGCGACGGUUGUCCCGGUUUAAGCGUGUAGGGGGUGUGACCUGGUAAAUCCGGUUGCAUAUCAACCCUGAGGCGUGAUGACGAUGCACUACGGUGCAGAAGUAGUUGAUGCCCUGCUUCCAGGAAAAGCCUCUAAGCUC